rnacentral:rRNA from 1 species
AACGUAGGACACAAGCGUUAUCCGGAGUUACUGGGCGUAAAGGGCGUUUUAGGCGGGUGAUUAAGUUCGCUAUGAAAGCGCCGGGCUAAACUCGGCGAGGCUGGCGGAUACUGGUCAUCUGGAGUUGAGUCAGAGGAAGGUAGAAUUCCGCGUGUAGUGGUGAAAUGCGUAGAGAUGCGGAGGAAUACCAGUGGCGAAGGCGGCCUUCUGGGACUCAACUGACGGCUGAAGCGCGAAAGCAUGGGGAGCGAACGGG